UUGAGAGGAGGAGAUAACGAGGACGACCCUACGGGCCAGCCACUCAUAGAGUAAGAAGAAAAGAAAGACAUAAAAUAAAGAAAGAUGGGAUCAAAUACAGAGACCCACGCCAGAUACUUUGCAGUCCUCGAUGGGAUGUCUCUAUCAAAUAUCUCCCAUUAGAGUCCAGGGAACCUCUUCCAAAGAGGAGACAGAGGGAGGACACCAAAAUACAAGGACUUCUCAGUCAACACGAAUAAAGCUCGUACAGACUGAAGCAGCACACACUGAUUUCUACCUUCCACAGCCUCGUCUACGAAUUUAGCAAUUUAUUGGGAACAAGGCUACAGAUGGUAGUUUUACCAUCAGCUGAUCAUAAGGUGGCCAUCCUAGAGAUUCAGGUGGCUUGAGGGACACUUGCUCUCUGCUGCACAGCCAUGGAGGAGCCAAGUGCUGCUCCUCUUGAGAUGAUGUCUACUACCCAGCUGGAGGGAAACAAUGACCACUAAGAAGGAGAUGUGAAGAUAUACUUAACUAAAACUAAACAGCUGACCUCGUGGAACUCUAGACAGUGAUUGCCUGAGGCAUGCUUCUGUGACAACACUGAACUUUCAUUUGAGGCUAAGAAACGA